AUGCUUGUGUAUAUCUUGUUGAGGAAGGAAGCAGCAGAAAUAUAGCUUUGGACUUUAAGACCUCUUCCCAGUGAUGGAACAAAUCCUUCUUAUUGUUUGAGAGAAUUCAGAAAAUGCUUCAAACCAGAAAUAUUGGCUUAGCUGGCAACCAAUCUGACCUGUGGCUUAGGUACCAGAGGAUGUAUUGCCUCAACUCCCAGCCUUUUUGGUUACAAACUGCAUACUGUGCAAUAUUAUUGUUGUUCCUUCGCAGGAAUUCUGCCACCUCAGCUUAGCCCCGUUCCAGCAGAGAGCUGCUUUGUCUUGCACUGCUGUAUUCCCAUGCACCAUUUCAUCUCCCAGACUCUGCAGAGGACUUUACCAGCCACCGUCUUGGGUCAAUGCCCUCAAUCAGAGGUGAAAGAGCCUCCCCUGGCUCAGGAAUAGGUGGAUUCCCCUCUUCUACACCAUGGACACUACUCUGUGCAAGGUUAUGGGAUACUAUCUGUUUUCUCACCUCACACUUUCCAAGGGCCUUUAUAAGAUAUUGAACAAAUGUCCACUCGUCCUCAUCUCGUAAUGUGCCCUCUCCCCAAUCUUCAUCUUUCCUUCUUUAUUGAAAUCACAGCCAGACUGAACAAGAGCAUUUCUUAACAACAAACUUAUUCGAUUGCUAUUACUGUGCUGUAAUAAUAAGCUGAAAGCUCCUGAGGAAAGAGAGCUGCUAUUUUUUACCUGAUUUUUUCUGAAGAAAACUCUCAUCUUUAUCAUUAGGAUCUUUUUCACUAUAAAGUUUGCCAAGAGCUUCACCAUCUCCACUCAGUUCUUCCAGUGAUUGCUGCGUGGCACAGGACUGAGUUUGUACUCUGUCGAUAAGGCCAGAGAAGC